CCUGGGGCAGAUGAUGGACAGAGAGGGAGAGAUGGAGUCCUGAGGGGGCGCUGGAGUCAUGGAGGGGAUGGUGGACACACAAAGAGAGAUGGAAUCCUGAGGGGGCGCUCGAGUUUUCCGGAGGAGAUGAUGGACAGAGAGGGAGAGACGGAGUCCUGAGGGGGCGCUGGAGUCCUGCGGAGAAGAUGACGGACAGAGGGGGCGCUGGAGUCCUGCGGAGGAGAUGAUGGACAGGAGUGGUCCUGAAGGGGGAACUGGAGGCAUGGCAGUGGAUGAUGGACAGGAAGGUGGAGGAGAGGUCCAGAGGGGCGCUGAAGUAACUUAAGGACGACGAAGUGGAGAGGAACCGACCUGGAGACUCUGGGAGGACCGGCAAGAGCAGUGAAACCUUCCAGAGCUUUUGACGUUGUCCAGCAGCGAGCUGUGCAUUCACGCUCUAGGCGGUUGAAGCGACCCUGUGAUGUGCUUCAAGGACCUUUAUCAUUGGAAAGUGGGUACCCAAGAGGCUUUGAUGAGGUGAGCUCUGGCAUCUAGCACCUCUAGCUUGGAGCUGUGUGUGCUGUUUCUCAAGAUGGA
rnacentral:lncRNA from 1 species